rnacentral:rRNA from 1 species
GACGAACGCUGGCGGCGUGCUUAACACAUGCAAGUCGAACGGAAAGGCCCUGCUUUUGUGGGGUGCUCGAGUGGCGAACGGGUGAGUAACACGUGAGUAACCUGCCCUUGACUUUGGGAUAACUUCAGGAAACUGGGGCUAAUACCGGAUAGGAGCUCCUGCUGCAUGGUGGGGGUUGGAAAGUUUCGGCGGUUGGGGAUGGACUCGCGGCUUAUCAGCUUGUUGGUGGGGUAGUGGCUUACCAAGGCUUUGACGGGUAGCCGGCCUGAGAGGGUGACCGGCCUCAUGGGGACUGCGAGACGGACCAGAGUCGUACGGGAGGCAGCAGUGGAGAAUCUUGUACAGUGGGCGGGAGCCUGAUGCAGCAGCGCCGCGUGCGGGAUGACGGCCAUCGGGUUGUAAACCGCAUUCGCCUGUGACGAAGCGUGAGUGACGGUAAUGGGUAAAGAAGCACCGGCUAACUACGUG